rnacentral:misc_RNA from 1 species
AGCAGCCGCGGUAAUUCCAGCUCCAAUAGCGUAUAUUAAAGUUGUUGCAGUUAAAAAGCUCGUAGUUGAAUUUCGGGAUCAAUAUGUUGGUCGUGCCUUGGUACGUACUGGCGUCAUUGAUUUCUACCUUCUGAAGAACCUCGAUGUCAUUAAUUUGGUGUCUUGGGGAAUCAGGACUGUUACUUUGAAAAAAUUAGAGUGUUUAAAGCAAGCUCACGCUUGAAUACAUUAGCAUGGAAUAAUGAAAUAGGACGUUUGAUUCUAUUUUGUUGGUUUCUAGGAUCGACGUAAUGAUUAAUAGGGAUAGUUGGGGGCAUUAGUAUUCAAUUGUCAGAGGUGAAAUUCUUGGAUUUAUUGAAGACUAACUACUGCGAAAAGCAUUUGCCAAGGAUGUUUUCAUUAAUCAAGAACGAAAGUUAGGGGAUCGAAGACGAUCAGAUACCGUCGUAGUCUUAACCAUAAACUAUGCCGACUAGGGAUCGGAUGAUGUUAAUUUUUUAAUGACUCAUUCGGCGCCUUA